AAUAAGAUGCCUGAUUAAAGGUUCAUUUUGAUGAAAUGAUUUAAAUAUAUUUAUAUAUUCUUAUUG
rnacentral:tRNA from 1 species